rnacentral:ribozyme from 1 species
UGUCCAGCACCUCCUAUCUCUACCUCCUCAUGGUACCGGCCGGAAAUUAUGAGCAACCUUAGGGAAGAUCGGGUAACCAACCCCGGCCCCGGUGGGAUCUUUAGCCCUAGGCUAAUAGGGAAGG